rnacentral:lncRNA from 10 species
CUCGGGAGGCUGAGGCAGGAGAAUCACUUGAAACUGGGAGGCAGAGGUUGUAGUGAGCCGAGAUUGCACCACUGCACUCCAGCCUGGGCAACAAAAGCAAAACUCUGUCUCAAAAAAAAAAAAAAGAAAAAAAAAAAAAGAAUAUGCAGGAUGCCAGCCAGGGGUCAAGAUGCAAUGAAUUGGGAAAUGAAAUCUCCCAGUCCACAAAAUAAAGAUAAUAUUAAAGUAAACAUAACAAAGACGUUUGAACAGGUUAAAUACUUACCAGGAUAAGGACUGAAAAGCAAAUCAUUUUACUUUUUUGGGUUUCCAUUCUCUCACCCAUAAAACAAAGGAGUCAAUUAAUUGAAUGUAGAAAAUUCUGGGACUAAAAGAAAUAUGUGUGAGUGUUUCAAGUGAAUUUAAUGUGUACGAGCUUUCACAUGCUUUGUUUGGCAAAUUUCAUCAGGAAAAUAUGCUCAAAGUUGAAUUAUGAUUUCAGAUAUGGAGAUGGACAAUAUCAUAGACAUAGUGAAAAACAGGAGGAAAAAUAUGGAGCUUGGCCAUAAACAGGAGAGAAUGUCUAAAUGGAAUGGAUGGCCUGGGCGGGAGGGAGCCACAGCAGAGAGCUGCAAAGCGAGAU